AAUGCAAAAUCAUUGUGGACCACUUUACGGUGAACAGUAUAGUGUGACAAAAAUGAGACAACAUACACGCAUUAGCAGUCCCUUUAAAAUGCGGAUGCUAAUGAGGGCAUAUGGGCAAGAAGGCUGAUGAGUUUAUUACAAGCUUAGGAUGUUAAGGAGAGAGACUCUAUUUUGGACUAGGCUUCUAAACAAGCAUUCUAGUCCUGCUUCAAUUUCAUCAAUGCUGUUCUGUAAUAUUUGCAACUGAUCUCGUGCCUUCUGUACCCUCCCAUCAUCAUUAGCUUCAAUAUCCUCAUGCUCCCCCUCACAGGCCACUUUCCUUUUGUGCAAUGCCUUUGAGAUAAGAGACCAUCUGCUAGUUUUGGUUUUUGGCCUUGGCAUGGACAAAAACUUAAGAAUGGACUGAAGAAGAGAGAUGGUGAUUUCUCUUGCUGCUUUCAAAGCUCUGACCACUGUCCAUGAAUUAGAUUCCUUAUCAUCAGUACAACAUAAGGCAUAUUUGUCAUCCAUCUGCUUCAGGAAUCUGAAGCAAUUCUUGACAUCUUUCUCUGCCUUCUUGUCAGGAUGAAGAUAAGCUUGCAUCUUGCUUUGGGCAACUACUUCUCCUUGUCUUCUAAGGGUCAUUUCGAGGUCUCGAAUCUGCUCCUUUAUCAAGAUCAUGUUAUCUCUCAAUUUGCCAAGCAAGUCCAACAGCCUGACAGACAUUUCCAACUCCACCUCCACCCAUUUGUUUUGUUGUGGAUUCAUGAAGAUCUGGUUGCUGCUAGGCAAGCAAAGAAGCUCUUCAAUGCACCUGUACAGACCUUGGAUCCCUCUCGAUCCCUCGCAUAUCAUAUGGGCCGUUGAAGAGGAUUGAACUACAGAAGACUUGACUUUCUGCAACUCUUCUUCCACUUUGAGCAUGAAGGGAUGGUCUCCAGAAGGCAUGCUGGUGGAUCGGGCAUGGAAAGGCUGGAUUGUUUUCGUAGGAGUGUCAGCCAUGUUUACAAUGCAAUCUUGGAAAGCCUUCGGCUUCUGACUGUUGCAAACAGGAUGGGAAGAUGUGACUGACCCUUGAACUCUCCCUACUUAUAGACUCAAUUGCAUAUUGCAGAUGGAGGCAAAUAGAAUCUUACCAGCUCAGCUGAACAUGAUAUGUGAAGCUUGGUAUUUGGAUCCGGUAUCCUCUUGUCCAAACAGGCCACUUUCCUCUUGUGCAAUGUCUUUGAGAUAAGAGACCAUCUGCUAGUUUUGGUUUUCGGCCUUGGCAUGGACAAGAAGUUAAAUAUGGACUGAAGAAGAGAGAUGGUGAUUUCUCUUGCUUCCUUCAGAGUUCUGACCAGCAUCCAUGAAUCAGAUUCCUUAUCAUCCGUAAAACAUAAGGCAUAUUUGUCAUCCAUCUGCUUCAGGAAUCUGAAGCAAUUCUUAACAUCUUUCUCUGCCUUCUUUUCAGGACGAAUAUAAGCUUGCAUCUUGCUGUGGGCAACUGUUUCUCCUUGUCUUCUGAGGGUCAUUUCAAGGUCUCUAAUCUGCUCCUUUAUAGAGUUUGUGCUAUCUCUCAAGGUGCCAAGCAAGUCCAACAGCCUGACAGAUACAUCCAACUCCACUUCCACCCAUUUCCUUUGUUGUGGAUUCGAGAAGAUCUGGUUGCUGCUCGGCAAGCAAAGAAGCUCUUCAAUGCACCUGUACAGACCUUGAAUUCCUCUCAAUCCCUCACAUAUCACAUAGGCAGUUGAAGAGGAUUGAACUACAGAAGACUUGACUUUCUGCAGUUCUUCUGCGACUCUGAGCAUGUAGGGAUGAUCUCUAGAAGGCAUGCUGGUGGAUCGGGCAUGGAAAGGCUGGAUCGGUGUCGCCGGAGAAUCAACCAUCUUUACAAUGUGAUCUUGGAUGGCCUUCAGUAUGUAUUAUCAGCAGAGUGGCACAAACCGGAUGGGAAGAUGUGACUGAUUCUUGAACUCUCUCUACUUAUAGACCCAAUUUCAUACAGCAGAUGGAGGCAAAUAGAAUCUCCCCAGCUCAGGUCAACAUGAUAUGUGAAGCUUGGCAUUUGGAUCUGCUAUCCUCUUGUCCAGACAGGACGACCAGCUAUAUAUAUCAGUAUGUUCUUGGAAGGCCUUUGGAAUAAAUUAUUAAUUGAAGACUACAGAAAAGAAGGAUGUGAAGAUGUGAAAGAGCUUGGAACUUCGCCAACUUAAAGACCCAGUUUCAUGAAGCAGAUGUGAGGCUAGUGGAAUUUAACUAGCCAAUAUGGUACAUGAAGCUUGCAAUUUGGAUCUUGUAGCCUCUUCUUCGAACAGGAUAUGUACUCGAGCGAAGCAUGCAGUGAGAACAAAUCUGAUCUUUCAAUUCCAUUUCCAUCCUCAUGCUCCCUCUCGCAUGCCACUUGCUUCUUGCUUAAUGCCUUGGAGACAAACGACCACCUUCCUGUCUUUGGUCGUCCUGCCUGCAAUGACAAGAAAGACGGCACUAGAUGGAUGAGAGACAAUGUGAUCGCCUUCAGUUCCAUCAAGAGCCUGCUCACUAUUGGUUUUCCACAGUCCUUGUCUGCACAUUUUCCCUCCACCUUCAAUGAUCUGAAGCAGUUCUUCACAUCCUUGUCUGCCUUCUUGGUAAAACGAAGGUAAGCAUUCACUGUUCUUUCUGCUGCAGCAACAUCUCUUCUUCGGAGCGCCAGCCGAAGGUCUUUGAAGUGCUCUUUGAUCAUAGCCAAGCCAUCUUUCAAAUCACUGCACAAGUCCAGCAAUCUGACGGACCCAUCCAAUUCAUCUUCCAGCCAUUUCUUCUGCAAGGAACAGUGGUUGCAUGGCAAGCGAAGAACCUCCUUGAUAGAUUCAUACACAGCCGCAAGCUCUCUUAACCCAUCGGAGAUCAUCUGUGGCGAUGAAGGAGAAGAUGUUGCUACAAAAGUCCUAAGCUUACACAGCUCUUCUUCAACUCUAAAUAUCACAGGGUGAGGUCUGGAAGGCAUGCUAAUGGAACGGAGAUUGCAAGGCUGGGAUGUCAUAUUUGCUUCUGGCCAAAAGUAGGGGGGAUCACUCAAGUUGUGUGACUGCUGAAGAUGAGCAGAGGAUACCCAGGGUGAGCUCUUCUUAUAAACCAGCAUGGAUACCCAGAGGUUGGUCAGACGAAGGGGACAACAAGAAUCCCUCUUUCUUGAGUUGUCAUGUGAUGCCAAUGUGGUUCUUGGCUUGCAAUGUGAUUUUUGUGUUCAUCACCCAGCAUCUCAUUGUUUCAUCAGUUGGCAGCAAAGAAGCAAGACAAGAUUGGCAAUAAUUAUUAUUGGUGGGUACAACCGAAACCACAGGGAGAAUCUGAUCAUGAUAUGUUGGACUGAUGCACAGGUGCAGUGUACAUAAUGAACUGCUUUAAGAUGAGCUGCAUGUAUGAGUUGGGGAAUGCACCUCUUGCAGUGAUCUCAAAGCAGGAUUGUCUCCUGAUCAUAAAUGGUUCCUUGGUAUUAUUAUAUUCGAGCUUCACCGGCUAAAUCUGGAUCUCGAGGUACAUCUGCAUGAAACGAUGCCAUCUUCCCACCUGUUCUCAAGGUAAGCCUCGUUCUCAGGCUAGUCGAUAUAUUUCUUGCUUGCUGUAAAAGUCCCAUGCAGUCAUUGAUAGAUAUGGGAGAGGCAGCCACCGACCAUUAAUAUAUCACUUGUCCCACACGCCACUUUAACCUAUCCGUCACCUUGCUUUCCGACGUGUUAUAUGGGACCCAUGAGGUUUGCUAUACAACAUUGAUGGGAAAACUAACUUAGUUAACGAUUACCGGAUUCGACGUAUAAUCCCACGACUCAUUAAUGAUCAGAUGACGCAUAUUACAAAUAAGUCCCGUUAAGUAUAUUCUUUGAGGACUUGACUUGAUAUAUUCUCCAACUUGAAUUCACCAAAAUUAAGAUUCAGAUCAUAUGCAGCCUUUACCACAUAAAAUUUAUUCAUAUGAUGUGGGCCGACGUGGGUUCAGCCCACAUCGUGGCCCGACGCGGUUCGGCUCAAUCUCGGAGCCUCUGGCUCAGAGGCCGGCGCGGGUCGGCCCAGUCCUGUGUGGCCCCGUUCGGGUUGGUACGGCCCAGCACCUUAAGCGCCCGUGGAGCCCAGCAGACAGGCCCUCUUCUGAUCGGCACGUGCGGCUCACAUCCGCCGGUUUCGUCCCCUUGCAGGCUCGGCCAGGGUUGACGCCAGGAUUCAGCCCACAGCGUCUGUGGUCACCGUUUUAGCCCAGCGAGAGCCGAAGUGACCACUUAGUGAGGCUGAACCAAACCGGUUUUAUCGAUUUUGAUCGGUUCAAGCCUCUUUAACCUAAAUUAGAUCUAAUCAAAUAUGAAGAUUCCAGACUAGUUCUAUGAGAAUUUUAGAUUGAUUCAAUUAGAUCCUGGUUGAAUCUGAGUCCAGAUCAAGUUAUCAACUAUGGUUGCAAGUCAAUUGAAGUUUUGAUUAAGAGAUGACUUCUUGUAUUAUUAAUGUAUGCAUAUGAAUUUGAUACGAUAUGUCGAUAGUUGUGGAUCUUAUCCAUGGUCAAGAAGGCCAGUAUAUUGGUAGGAGAUGAUUGCUAGAUAGUUCCUUUCGAAGGAAUGUAUUGACAGGUGAGGCAUACUAUAGUAUCUACGAUCGGGAGUGUAAUAUAGUUUCUCUCUAUCUACUGUUUAACGAAAAUCGAAUCUAACGAACAAAGCAUCCUCAUUCAUUAUUGGAAAAGCGCUCAACUAGUGUCCAACAUAUGCCAAAUCUUCAUACGAUUUGACAUUGAACAUGCUAUCGAGACUAGUUAUUGAAAUUUAUGAUCGAAUAUUUUGAUAUCGAUUAUAACUUACCGAUAAAUAUUUGUACAUAUCUUAUUAUUGAUUUUGUUAUAUAUUUUAAGAUGGUGAUUACAAGGUUCCUACUCA